rnacentral:rRNA from 1 species
UUGCACCUGGUGGCGAGUGGCGAACGGGUGAGUAAUACAUCGGAACGUACCUUAUCGUGGGGGAUAACGCAGCGAAAGCUGUGCUAAUACCGCAUACGCCCUGAGGGGGAAAGCGGGGGAUCGAAAGACCUCGCGCGAUUAGAGCGGCCGAUGCCUGAUUAGCUUGUUGGUGGGGUAAAAGCCCACCAAGGCGACGAUCAGUAGCUGGUCUGAGAGGACGAUCAGCCGCACUGGGACUGAGACACGGCCCAGACUCCCACGGGAGGCAGCAGUGGGGAAUUUUGGACAAUGGGGGAAACCCUGAUCCAGCAAUGCCGCGUGAGUGAAGAAGGCCUUCGGGUUGUAAAGCUCUUUUGCCAGGGAAGAAACACCGGCUCUAACACAGUCCGGGAAUGACGGUACCUGAAGAAUAAGCACCGGCUAACUACGUGCCAGCAGCCGCGGUAAUACGUAGGGUGCGAGCGUUAAUCGGAAUUACUGGGCGUAAAGCGUGCGCAGGCGGUUAUACAAGACAGGCGUGAAAUCCCCGGGCUUAACCUGGGAGUGGCGCCUGCGACUGUAUAGCUAGAGUGUGUCAGAGGGGGGUAGAAUUCCACGUGUAGCAGUGAAAUGCGUAGAUAUGUGGAGGAAUACCAAUGGCGAAGGCAGCCCCCUGGGAUAACUCUGACGCUCAUGCACGAAAGCGUGGGGAGCAAACAGG